rnacentral:rRNA from 1 species
UGAGGAAUAUUGGGCAAUGGGGGCAACCCUGACCCAGCCAUGCCGCGUGAGUGAUAAGGUUUUCGGAUUGUAAAGCUCUUUCGGAUGUGAAGAUGAUGACGGUAGCAUCUAAAGAAGCCCCGGCAAACUUCGUGCCAGCAGCCGCGGUAAUACGAAGGGGGCGAGCGUUGUUCGGAAUUACUGGGCGUAAAGGGUGUGUAGGCGGAUAUGUAAGAUAGGGGUGAAAUGCCAGGGCUCAACCUUGGAACUGCCUUUAUAACUAUGUAUCUAGAGUGAUGAAGAGGAUAGCGGAAUACCCAGUGUAGAGGUGAAAUUCGUAGAUAUUGGGUAGAACACCAGUGGCGAAGGCGGCUAUCUGGGCAUCAACUGACGCUGAGGCACGAAAGCAUGGGGAUCAAACAGG